rnacentral:rRNA from 1 species
UACCAGCACCCCGAGUGGUCGGGACGUUUAUUGGGCCUAAAGCAUCCGUAGCCGGUUCUACAAGUCUUCCGUUAAAUCCAGCUGCUUAACAGAUGGGCUGCGGAAGAUACUAUGGAGCUAGGAGGCGGGAGAGGCAAGCGGUACUCGAUGGGUAGGGGUAAAAUCCGUUGAUCCAUUGAAGAACACCAGUGGCGAAGGCGACUUACUGGACACAUAUUGACGCUGAGGUGCGAAAGCGUGGGGAGCAAACAGG